GAACCAGCAUGGCCUAGUGGUUUGAGCCCUGGAUUGUGACUCUGGAGACCAGGGUUCAAUUCCCUGCUGGACCA